GUCUGGUGCCAGCAGCCGCGGUAAUUCCAGCUCCAAUAGCGUAUAUUAAAGUUGUUGUGGUUAAAAAGCUCGUAGUUGAACCUUGGGCCUGGCUGGCCGGUCCCCCUCACCGGGUGCACUGAUCCAGCCGGGCCUUUCCCUCUGUGGAACCCCAUGGCCUUCACUGGCUGUGGCGGGGAAACAGGACUUUUACUUUGAAAAAAUUAGAGUGCUCCAGGCAGGCCUAUGCUCGAAUACAUUAGCAUGAAAUAAUAAAAUAGGACGUGUGUUUCUAUUUUGUUGUUUUCUAGGACCGCCGUAAUGAUUAAUAGGGACAGUCGGGGGCAUCAGUAUUCAAUUGUCAGAGGUGAAAUUCUUGGAUCUAUUGAAGACUAACUACUGCGAAAGCAUUUGCCAAGGAUGUUUUCAUUGAUAAGGAACGAAAGUUAGGGGAUCGAAGACGAUCAGAUACCGUCGUAGUCUUAACUAUAAACUAUGCCGACUAGGGAUCGGACGAUGUUAUUCUUUGACGCG
rnacentral:rRNA from 1 species